AGUGGAAUUGCUGGGUCAUAUGGUAAUGCUGUUUAACCUUUUGAGGAACUGUCAGACUGUUUUCCAAGGUGGCUGCACCAUUUUACAUUGCCACCAGCAAU
rnacentral:pre_miRNA from 1 species